rnacentral:rRNA from 1 species
GUUAUAGUAACGGUAAGGUUUCGGAGUAGGAAGAUAGUAGUAACUUAGGUGGACGGACGGGUGACGUAACGCGUGGGCAACCUGCCCUGUACCGGGGGAUAACACUUAGAAAUAGGUGCUAAUACCGCAUAAGCGCACAGCUUCGCAUGAAGCAGUGUGAAAAACUCCGGUGGUACAGGAUGGACCCGCGUCUGAUUAGCUAGUUGGUGGGGUAGAGGCCCACCAAGGCGACGAUCAGUAGCCGGCCUGAGAGGGUGACCGGCCACAUUGGGACUGAGACACGGCCCAAGCUCCUACGGGAGGCAGCAGUGGGGAAUAUUGCACAAUGGGGGAAACCCUGAUGCAAGCGACGCCGCGUGAGUGAAGAAGUAUUUCGGUACGUAAAGCUCUAUCAGCAGGGAAGAAAAUGACGGUACCUGACUAAGAAGCCCCGGCUAACUACGUGCCAGCAGCAGC